rnacentral:rRNA from 1 species
UACGUAGGGGGCGAGCGUUGUCCGGAACGACUGGGCGUAAAGGGUGCGCAGGCGGAAUGUCAAGUCAGCGGUAAAAUUUCGGGGCUCAACCCCGUCGUGCCGUUGAAACUGGCGUUCUUGAGUGAGCGAGAAGUAUGCGGAAUGCGUGGUGUAGCGGUGAAAUGCAUAGAUAUCACGCAGAACUCCGAUUGCGAAGGCAGCAUACCGGCGCCCUACUGACGCUGAAGCACGAAAGCGUGGGUAUCGAACAGG